UCAACACCUGUGAACUCACCGUAGGCCUUCGGGCUUAUGUAUCAUAUAUAUAUACUCAGAUCAUAGAAUGUACGUUUUGCCUUUAAAAAAGCAAUCAAAUACAACUUUCAACAACGGAUCUCUUGGCUCUCGCAUCGAUGAAGAACGCAGCGAAAUGCGAUAAGUAAUGUGAAUUGCAGAUUUUCAGUGAAUCAUCGAAUCUUUGAACGCACCUUGCGCUCCUUGGUAUUCCGAGGAGCAUGCCUGUUUGAGUGUCAUUAAAUCCUCAACCCCGUCCGUCGGUCGGGGCUUGGACUUUGGAGCGUGCUGGCGAAGGUCGGCUCCUCUUUAAAUGCAUCAGCGGAGAAAAACAAACCUUUUUUCCCCCUUCAGCGUGAUAACUGUGUUGCGCUGUGGUCGCGAAAGGGUCCGCUCAUAAUCGUCCUCGGACAACACCGAAUCUGUUUUGACCUCAGAUCAGGUAGGACUACCCGCUGAACUUAAGCAUAUC
rnacentral:misc_RNA from 1 species